CUCAGGCCUCAGGACAAUAU
rnacentral:misc_RNA from 1 species